rnacentral:rRNA from 1 species
AACGAACGCUGGCGGCAGGCCUAACACAUGCAAGUCGAGCGAGGACUUCGGUUCUAGCGGCGGACGGGUGAGUAACGCGUGGGAAUGUGCCCUUCUCUACGGAAUAGCCCUGGGAAACUGGGAGUAAUACCGUAUACGCCCUAUUGGGGAAAGAUUUAUCGGAGAAGGAUCAGCCCGCGUUGGAUUAGGUAGUUGGUGGGGUAAUGGCCUACCAAGCCGACGAUCCAUAGCUGGUUUGAGAGGAUGGUCAGCCACACUGGGACUGAGACACGGCCCAGACUCCUACGGGAGGCAGCAGUGGGGAAUCUUAGACAAUGGGGGCAACCCUGAUCUAGCCAUGCCGCGUGAGUGAUGAAGGCCUUAGGGUUGUAAAGCUCUUUCAGCUGGGAAGAUAAUGACGGUACCAGCAGAAGAAGCCCCGGCUAACUCCGUG